AUAUAACCAAAAUAUAAGAUUUUUCUUAAAAAAGAUAAAAUGGGAGUUUUAAACCUAGCCUUAGUUGGCUUUCUUCUUAGCAUUCAUGCUUCAUUUGUGAGCGGUACUUAUUCUACAAGUUCCAUGAUAGAUGGCAUUAAAGUAGCCGUGGAUUUUAAUGCUAAUCAAACAUUAGAAAGAACAGCAAGAGGUAUUCAGAAUAAAGAUCCAAAUGAUAACAAAUCUGAAAAUUUAGAUAAACCUAAAAAAAAAGAUAAGGUUGAGAAGAAAAGUGAGUCUAGAAAUAAAAAGCAAAAAA